rnacentral:lncRNA from 1 species
UCUAAAUCAAACUUCUAAAUCAAAAUUUCUAAAUCAAAAUUUCAUUAUCAUAUAACAAAAAAUAAUAGAAUAAAUAAAAAAUCACUCUUUACCAGCUGGGUAUUUUACUUCAAGCUGGUGAUGAACUACUCCUACUAGCCUGCUAAUGCCGUUUUCCUGCUUCUAAAAUGAGAAAAAAAAACUCAACUCAAUCCUUUCACGUGAAUGAGCAAAUACUCUUGCCCUAAUGCCGUUCUCUCUACUUGUGAAAUGAGAGAAAAAUCUCAACUCAGUUAGUGCUUUUCGACAGCUAGAAUCAAAUGUGGGGGAGAAAGAGUAAAAAAUGUGGAAAAAGCAAAAGUAUCAAGAAAAAAUAAAAGGGGCAAAAGUUCACGUGGUGGAGGGUGGGGCCGAGAGAAACGACAUUACUGUAUGUCGUUUCUCUCUGAAAUGCAAGUUAUGCAACUUAAGAGGGGGGUGAAUUGAGAUUUUAAAAUUUAUGCAAUACAAUUCGCACAAUAAUUUAAUCUAUUGCCUUAAUCAAAUCAAAAUAAUAAAUCCAAUCAAGCACAAUAUUAAAAGAGUAAGGGAAGAGAAAACAAACACAAAGAUUUUUACGUGAUUCGGCUAUCCCUGCCUACGUCCACGCCUCCAAGCUCACCCGGCUUAAGGAUUUAACUAUCCAAGCCUCCUAAGGUUUCAAAUGUUUACAAUUAACUUCCAGGGUGUCAAUGGACCUUUACAACAAGAGAUUAUAUCCCCAAUCUCUUCACCCCAAGUGUUUCCCACACUUGUACACUCACAAUUUGAUGAGAAAUAAAAAUCACAACAAUGAAACUCUCUUUAAGAGUGGAUAACAAAUUAUAGCUCAAUAAUGAUUCAAUAAAUGAUGAUUUACGAAAUGGAAGCUCAAUAUAUGUUAUAUGAUCUUAUAUUUACUUGUGUUAGUUCUUAGAAUGAAGUUUGAGUUGAGUUUUUAUAGUAAAAGUCCAAAAACUAGCCGUUAUAGGCAAAUUCCCGUGCUCAAGCGGUUAGCCGCUUGAUUAUCCGGCUAGCCACUCAGGAACAAUGAUAUUACCGUUAUUUUUUAAUUUUGCUACAGUAAUAGUGUUAGCUAAAAUUAAACUUUAACCCAAAACUUUCUAUAAUUAUACUAUGGCCCAAAAUGUCAUAAAACUUUACAAAUAGGUCCAAUUUCAGAACUUCCUAAAAAUAAUUGUCUUUCCCAAACUUUCUGAAAUUAUGAUAUGGCCCCAAAAAUUUUAUUAUGUCGCACAAAGGUCCUUUUCAACAUAAUACCCAUAUUUUUCAAAGUUCUCAAAAUCUUUCACUUUAGUCCAAAAUAUUCAUAAAUUAUAGUAUGGCCCAAAACAUUUCAAAUGUUUAUAAAAACGUCCAACUCUGAAAUUUAAUACUUAUUUAAAAUCAAAGAUUUCAAAUCUUAGCAUUUAAGUCCAAAUUACUUAAAUCCACAAAAUACUUUACUUUAUAAAAAUAAAACCUUUUAGUUUAUGCAAAGUAUUUAAUUAAAUUAAUCUUUUGAGUUUCUCGAAUGCUAAAUCAUACAUCAAUUAAAUCAUACUGGCUUUACAAGAAUUUAUUGCACUAAUUUGUUCGUUGAGCUCUAAACUAUAUUCUUGAUGUUGCCAUUGUCCGUUGAGUGUCUUCAAUCUUGAUUUCACUUGAUUCACUUGCAUAAAUAUUAUCUUUAAAAAAUUAGUGAAAAUGUGAAAUACAAUAUUUAUUAAAUCACUCAAUACAUAUGUUUGUUAUCAUCAAAAUUACAUCAUGUAUAGCCCUUUAGGCUAACACUCUCGGCAUUCUCUCAGCAUUCUCGAUGAGAAGCAUUUUCCUAUAUAUAUAUAUAUAUAUAAACACAUAAAUUGCAUUAUGAGCACUAUUCAUGUAUGAGAUUAUAUAUACUUCAUUUGCACUAGUUACAUUGCAUUGUGAGAACUAUUCAUGUAUGAGAUUGCUUUAUUCAUUUUCAAGGUAGGAAUGCAAACCUUUGUUAUUUUUCAUUUCUUUAUUUUUAAACUUAGGUCCUAUUUCAUGUUGAAGUAUUGCAACUUAAAAAUUUUAACCACUCUAGAAAAAAAAUUGUAACUAUGAAAUAAAAGUUAAUAUUAUAUAUUAAAUAAAAUUUUUAAUUAAUAAUUUUGACAAAAUUAAUAAAUAUAUUAUAAAUUUUUUAUCAUACAAGUAUAAAAUUAAAUUAAUUUAACUUUCAAGUUAUAGUAACUAAUAUUUACCCAAUACUUUAAUAUUAUAACUUAAAAGUUAUAACUGUCCAAUCUUAAUCCUAGACAAAACCUAUAAAAAGUCAUAAUUGCAUUAAAUUUUGUUGUAACCAAAUUCAUCCCGCUCUUAUUCAUUUAAUGUGGCUCAAUGGCCCAAGAGGGUAAAACUAUUUACUUUUUGUUUUUUGAAAAGUUAGGGGUGGAUAAAAUCCAACUUUUAUCCUCUUUUUUUCAAGAUUUGAAUUCAUGUAGAUGGUAAAAUAAAACUAUUUGCAAUCACUAAUCUACACUCACACAUGCACCAAAAAAUAAAAGUAAAACUUAUUGAAAUUAAAUAAGUCUCCGUAAAAUUAAUUUUACCAAAGCUAAAUAAUCAAAUACAGUAUCUUAGGAUUCUUUUCAGUAUUUACCAGCACAUAAUCUUUAUUCUUUCCUUAUAUGUAUGAUUUAGAUUUUUACCAUCUUUGAAUCACAUAACGAUCUUGAUUCUUAAUAUGUAUACAUCAUUCAAUGCUAAUCUUCAAGUCGCAACUACAAAUGGCCUUGCUUACUUAUGUGAUUCUUAUGAGUGACCCUAUGGCAGCAGUCUGAGAGGUACGGUUGACGCAAAUUGAGAAAAUAUUUGUUUCUUAGGAUGCAAGAAAAAUUGUUAGGGUUUUUGGGGGGGGGGGGUUAUGAAGGUGUUGUUGGAUCAUAAACUUGAUCCAAGAUGAAUAAAUUCAAGCCCAACUCAUGGAAGGUUCCAUGAGUAGGUAUGGUUGGUGAGUUUUGAAUUAUUUGUGUUAGGUGUGGUAGGUUUGACAGGUGAAGAUGAAUGGUUAUUAUUUUUUUGUAAUUUCUUAUUUGAAUGAUUGUGAUUAGUUUGUUUCAUGUAUAAAUACCCCUUCUCCCCUUUGGUUUAAGUAUCUAGUGAAAUAACAAAAUCUCUAAUUUGUAGAGAAUGAAAAAUAAGAGUUGUAGUUGGUGAAGAGUGUUGUUAAAGAAAUAAAAUACUGUGUUUUUUGAGUAUUUAAUUUGUUAAUUCUCUAACAGGUGCAUCAUAUCAUUGGUGAUUGUCCUGACUGUACAUGAUUUCUCUGUGCUUCACUUAACUCUCAUAACAUUACAAUUGGUGGUCAAUAAGUUUGGGAUAGGACUAAUUCCUAUCCUCUGUUUGGUACAUACAUAGCUUUGGAAUAAAUUAGGGCCCACAAAAUUAUCUCAUAAACUUAAGAAAAUUAAUCCCAUGAGCCCUUGGGAUAAAGUUACUAAGACAAACAGUGCCGAACUUAUUUUUUGUUAAAAAAAGAAUUAAGAGUCAAGAUUUAUAUU